CCAUGGCUGGAGUUCCCAGGGGGUGCAUACACUCAUCGCCCCUCUCCACUGCUCUUCACAUCACAUCUGUCUCAGGCUCUAAUGCUUCCAGGACUGAUGGACAAGAAGGCAAAGGUCAGAGCUGUAUAGACGCUCAAGCCAGCCUGAAGAAAGAGCAGGUUUUGAGAUAGUAUGACAAAGUUCUUUAAGUGGUUAAAAAAUAAUUCGCUCAUAAUUUUUGUGUUUAAUUGUAUGAAAUAAAAGAUAAAUUUGUUGACGAAAAGCAGAGUUCUAUUGAAGUUUUAUUGUUAAGGAAAGACAUUCAAGGAUUAGAGGCUUUGUAUUUGUAACAAGUUCAUAUGAAAAUUCAGAUUUUUUCUUAGUCAGUUACAUAGCACUAAUCAUCAAGUUGCUGAUAACUUAGCACACAGCUUUUUGAAACAUAGACACUCCUGAAUGGAAACAACAAACAUAUUGGCAGCUUAAAACUUCAAAUGCGUCACCUUAUGGUGACAACAUCUAGCUUUUAUAUACAGCCAAUGAAAACAAAUUGCUUAUACAUUUGUAUAAAACAACUCUUAAAGCUAUCACUUCAGCAAAGCCCUUGGAGACCUUGAGACUCCCGAGAGCUUCGAUCAGUUUUUCAAGUGGUACCUGACGGGAAAUGAUAUGUGUCCUCAUCUCCACUAUCUGCCUAAUGAUGAUGACCAAGAAGAGUCCAGGUCUGAUAAAUGAUAACAGAUAUCAAUGUGAUCAGGAAGAACUGAAAUUGAUUAUUUCAAACUGAACUGUGUUUGACAAACUUACUCAGUUAUUAUCCAGUGGAUAAUAGCACAUCCAUAUAAAAGAAUUCAAGUUGCUUUAUACUUUUCCCACAUUCUGUUUCAGUAAAAUACUUUUGGUAUCUCACAUACUGCAUAUUUGUUUGCUACUUUAUAAAUUAAAACAGUGGUACCUCAGUUAUUUGACUCUUUACGUUAUAAAACCUUUGCUCCAGAUUGAGCUAUUAGAAAAUAAGAUAAGUCUGAGGGCUGAAGAGAUAGUAAUUAUUGACAGGUUAUUAUGACAAUGGGCCCCGGCCAUAAAAAUGUCAAAGGACGUUCUACCCACUUGCGCAAAGGGUAUGCAGUGUACGUGCUUUUCCUAAGCAAACAAAGAUUGGUUACACAAUAAACAAAGCCAACUCUCAAAAACGGCUUGUAAUCUUUUGAAAUCAUUCUCCUUUUCAACCUUUAAAUCACUGCUAUUCUUUUACAAUCUGAGGUUUAAAAACAUCUUAAUUUUAAAAACUCAAACACAAUUUAAUCAAAAGUGAAAGAUUUCCUGAAGAACUGAUUUUGUUCUGUUUUUUUCCCCUUUUUUUCUUUCUUUGCUUUUGAUAAAAUUUAACUGACUUGCUUCAAAUUAGCUUCUAACAUCCGAAGUGGACCACUUGCAAAGAGGACAGUGUAAUUCCACAUCUAUUGCUAUAAUAAAUACUGCAAAAAGUUAUUUGUUUGUCUAGCAUAAACUUUUUUCUUCCUCCACCUGUUAUCAUGCUGUUUGUACUUGAGUGAUAGUGGGGUAAAUAUAAUCAACAGACACUUGAUUUUAAUUGAAAAUGCCAAAUGAGAUUUUAGCUCAUGGAGGAACUAUAAGAUCGAUGGCUCAGUGAAAAAGAAUCACGACUCGCCAUAAUUUCUGUUGUGAGCUCUGGUAGAUUUUCUUUGUGUCAGGUUGUGAUCAGCUGACCUGUGCUGCUGCUGCUUUGAUCUUUGCUGUUUUUUGUGGAUUUGCACAAGUUUAUUUGUUGAGAACCCGAUGUUCCCACCUCUGUAAAGAAUGGGAAGGACGGAAUAGCAGACCUGCACAAGUCUGGAAUGGUCUAUAAGACCGUUCAGCAAGAACAUGCAGACGGACAAAAUGGUGGUGGCUAACCAACCGGACAUAGUGGUGGUAGACAAACAGAAGAAGACGGCUGUAGUGAUCGAUGUAGCGGUUCCGAAUGACAGCAAUAUCAGGAAGAAGGAACACGAGAAGCUGGAGAAAUACCAAGGGCUCAGAGAAGAGCUCGAGAGGAUGUGGAGGGUGAAGGUAACGGUGGUCCCCGUGGUAAUCGGAGCACUAGGUGCGGUGACUCCCAAGCUAGGCGAGUGGCUCCAGCAGAUCCCGGGAACAACAUCGGAGAUCUCUGUCCAGAAGAGCGCAGUCCUGGGAACAGCUAAGAUACUGCGCAGGACCCUCAAGCUCCCAGGCCUCUGGUAGAGGACCCGAGCUUGAAGGAUAAACCGCCCGCAGGGGCGUGCUGGGUGUUAUAUAUAUAUAUGUAUAUAUAUAUAUAUAUGUAUGUGUGUAUAAAAUAUAUGAAGUAACAUGUUGACAUAUAUUAAUAAAUUGACAUGUACUGUUUCUUCAUUAGCUACUUUUAGUAACAGAUUUUGCGUUAAAAAUUCUAAUUAUCUGGCUUGUUUGGCUUGACUGCAGAUUUCAGUUGUUUGUAGACAUAUUUCAUCUCUAUGGUUAUUUUUCGGUCAAAUGGAAAUAACAUUUGCCUUUAGGCGACAAUACAAAUAGAACUGAAUUGAUUCUCUAAUCCUAUCAUACCUUUAUUCACAUAAAUGUUUGAGAAUCGUCGAGGAAAAAAUUUUUGAUAGAUUAUCAUGACCAUGGGCCAUGCACCAUAGACAGCAGACAGAAACAAAUAAAACUGUUUAUUAGAGUGUGCAAGGCUCAGAGUACUUGAUAAGCUAGAGUGGAAAAAAAUGGCUGCCACUCUUCCUGCUCCUGUGCUUUGACAAAUGUACUAUGUAAAGUGUUACCUUUGUUCUAUAAGUUUUGGGGAAAAAUGACUGAUUCAUUAAAGUUUAAAUUCCAAAUCCCGGACAACUCAGGUUCAGUGGACUAUGAGACAGGGUGUUUAUUCUGAGUUAAUAUUUACCAUGACAAAUGCGUCAAAACACCUUUUUUUCUUGGCAUCCACUAGCAGGUAGGUCAUGUGCACUCUAUGCCCAUGCAGUCCACCAUGUUUCAAAAAGUAUAGUAUAAAAUGUUUAAAGAAAUCUGUGUUGCUAAAUGUUUUGUCUUUUCUGUCAUAUGAUUCAUCUCACAGCUCCACAUACUUGGAAGACUUUGGUUUCAGUGUGUGGCAACAGCGGUUUCACUUUAGUGAUUUUAUGGUGCUGUGCUAGUAUGUUAGCACAGGCACCAUUUUGUGUGUGUGUGUGUGUGUGUGUGUGUGUGUGUGUGUGUGUGUGUGUGUGUGUGUGUGUGACAUGUGUGAAUUGAGCACAUUGACAAAAUCUGUACUACAUUCGGAGGCACUACCACUGCAUGAUUAGUAAUAGACUUCCAUCUGUCAGAACCAAAUGGGUGGAUUGAUCAUGCCUGCAGUCAUGCUGUAGGUAACUACAGAACUUACACUUGAGCUCCACAUUAUCCAUCUUUAUAUAGCUGUCUGGAAUAAAAUUUCAUGUUUCAAACACAUGUUUGUCAGGUUUUGAGAGUCUUUUAAUGUCACCCCAUUUGUGGUUUUAAAUGAGAACAGCCUUCUAUCGUCAAGCCGAUCUUCCAGCAGCAGCAUUAUGAUGCAGUAGUCGGGUCACAGCAUAGGUCAAACGUACACAUGUUUUGGUAAAAGUAAAACAUAAAUGCUUAACACUUUAGUUUAACAUUAACUAUAGUACCUCUAAAAGAACAUAUAAUAUCCCAUAAAUCUUCCCUUUAAAAGGCACCAUAUGAGUUCAGCAGAUCAUCACUUCUAUCUAUGACUUGGAUGGGCAUCUGAAUCAAUAUUCUGUAAACUCGCAGAAGAUGCCAUGGCUGGAGUUCCCAGGGGGUGCAUACACUCAUCGCCCCUCUCCACUGCUCUUCACAUCACAUCACACAGACAUUGACUCAUGUUCAUGUAUGACUUACAAAAUUGGAUCUGUUAUUGAUCACACACUAGCUAAUUUGAAGUGUGAAUCUAUUAAAACAAGGUGCCAGCAGCAGCAUUAUAGUGCACAAA
ensembl:lncRNA